UACGUAGGGUCCGAGCGUUGUCCGGAAUUACUGGGCGUAAAGAGCUCGUAGGUGGUUUGUCGCGUUGUUCGUGAAAACUCACAGCUCAACUGUGGGCGUGCGGGCGAUACGGGCAGACUAGAGUACUGCAGGGGAGACUGGAAUUCCUGGUGUAGCGGUGGAAUGCGCAGAUAUCAGGAGGAACACCGGUGGCGAAGGCGGGCCUUCUGGGACAGUGAACUGACGCU
rnacentral:rRNA from 1 species